ensembl:snoRNA
UGGUCAUUGCCAAGGCUUUUAGAAUGCAGUUUCUCAUUUUGAUAUGGACAUUGCCAUAAAAAAAGUUUCCUACCAGGCUUUUGGGAAGCCUAUUGGGAAAAUUU